UGCCGUGAGUCGGAAGCUAGAGGAAGGUGUAGGCAAAUCUCAGGUCUGACGAACAGAAAUCAUAUCAGAAUAAGCACAGGGAUAAGGUCGCUAAACAGAUCGAAGCCCGAUAGCUGUACGGAACUAUGUAUAC
rnacentral:ncRNA from 1 species